rnacentral:rRNA from 1 species
UACGGGGGGGGUAAGCGUUGUUCGGAAUUACUGGGCGUAAAGGGCUCGUAGGCGGCCAACUAAGUCAGACGUGAAAUCCCUCAGCUUAACUGGGGAACUGCGUCUGAUACUGGAUGGCUUGGAUUUGGGAGAGGAAUGCGGAAUUCCAGGUGUAGCGGUGAAAUGCGUAGAUAUCUGGAGGAACACCGGUGGCGAAGGCGGCAUUCUGGACCAAUAUUGACGCUGAGGAGCGAAAGCCAGGGGAGCAAAGCGGG